rnacentral:rRNA from 1 species
AGUCGAGCGGAUAUGAGGUGCUUGCACCUUAUCUUAUCGGCGGACGGGUGAAUAAUGCUUAUGAAUCUGCCUAUUAGUGGGGGACAACAUUCCGAAAGGAAUGCUAAUACCGCAUACGUCCUACGGGAGAAAGCAGGGGAUCUUCGGACCUUGCGCUAAUAUAUGAGCCUAAGUCGGAUUAGCUAGUUGGUGGGGUAAAGGCCUACCAAGGCGACGAUCUGUAGCGGGUCUGAAAGGAUGAUCCGCCACACUGGGACUGAGACACGGCCCAAACUCCUACGGGAGGCAGCAGUGGGGAAUAUUGGACAAUGGGGGGAACCCUGAUCCUCCAUGCCGCGUGUGUGAAGAAGGCCUUAUGGUUGUAAAGCACUUUAAGCAAGGAGGAGGCUACUGAGACUAAUACUCUUGGAUAGUGGACGUUACUCGCAUAAUAAUCACCGGCUAACUCUGUGCCAGCAGCCGCGGUAAUACAUAUGGUGCGAGCGUUAAUCGGAUUUACUGGGCGUAAAGCGUGCGUAGGCGGCUUUUUAAGUCGGAUGUGAAAUCCCCGAGCUUAACUUGGGAAUUGCAUUCGAUACUGGGAAGCUAGAGUAUGGGAGAGGGUGGUAGAAUUCCAGGUGUAGCGGUGAUAUGCGUACAGAUCGUGGAAGAACAUGGAUGGCAAACGCGAUUAUCUGGCCUGGUACUGCCGCUUCAGGUACGAUGACAUGGGGAUCUACCGGGAUUAGAUACCCUGGUAGUCCAUGCCACAACUAUGUCUACUAGCCCGU